UAAUGUAUACUAUUGUAACAAUAAACAUGGAAAAUUCGUGUGUUUAUUCUACUGCAGUUAAUUUAACUAAGUCGAUGAAAAGCUAGAUGACGCGUCAUGUAGUUUACCCCUGAGAUGCAAGAGGAAUCUUACAGAACAUUUUAUUAAAAUACCAUACAUUCUUACAAUUAUUUUAAAACUAUUGUACAGACACAAAGAUACAACUUAAAAACAAAACAUUCUAUUUCAUACAGAAUGCUUGAUCAUAACUUCAGUGACGCAUAAAUUCUGAUUAUAUGUACCUGUUCCGACUAUACCAAUAUAAAAUAUAAAGUUUCCGACUCAUUAAUA